rnacentral:rRNA from 1 species
UGCGUAGGCGGCUUCUUAAGUCGGAUGUGAAAUCCCUGAGCUUAACUUAGGAAUUGCAUUCGAUACUGGGAAGCUAGAGUAUGGGAGAGGAUGGUAGAAUUCCAGGUGUAGCGGUGAAAUGCGUAGAGAUCUGGAGGAAUACCGAUGGCGAAGGCAGCCAUCUGGCCUAAUACUGACGUUGAGAAACGAAAGCGUGGGGAGCAAACAGGAUUAGAUACCCCUGUA